rnacentral:rRNA from 1 species
AGUGAACGCUGGCGGUAGGCCUAACACAUGCAAGUCGAACGGCAGCACAGUAAGAGCUUGCUCUUACGGGUGGCGAGUGGCGGACGGGUGAGGAAUACAUCGGAAUCUACUUUUUCGUGGGGGAUAACGUAGGGAAACUUACGCUAAUACCGCAUACGACCUACGGGUGAAAGCAGGGGAUCUUCGGACCUUGCGCGAUUGAAUGAGCCGAUGUCGGAUUAGCUAGUUGGCGGGGUAAAGGCCCACCAAGGCGACGAUCCGUAGCUGGUCUGAGAGGAUGAUCCGCCACACUGGAACUGAGACACGGUCCAGACUCCUACGGGAGGCAGCAGUGGGGAAUAUUCGACAAUGGGCGCAAGCCUGAUCCAGCCAUACCGCGUGAGUGAAGAAGGCCUUCGGGUUGUAAAGCCCUUUUGUUGGGAAAGAAAAGCAGCAGGUUAAUACCCCGCUGUUCUGACGGUACCCAAAGAAUAAGCACCGGCUAACUUCGUG